CGGCAAUUCUCCGUUUUUUAGGUAGUUUUUGGAUGUGAAUUAGGCUUAUCUAUCUACGUAAACAGUUUUCUAUUUAUGUAGCAUGUAUAAGUAACCCAUAUUGAUGUGUUAUAUCCAAGAUGUUGGGAUUGAGUUAUUUCCAUUGAACCGUUUUCCACCGACAUCUCGAGAAGGGCUAUUAACAUUCCACAUCGUGUGGUUGUAGUGUCCUUGAGCAAUAUAUACGUGAUGUGGUAAUCUUCCACUUUUGAAUUAGUUUUUGCAUGUAAGUUAAGCAUAUCACUAAUAUAGAUUACUCAUAAUAAAGAACAAUAACAACUAGGAAAUCAGUAAAGGAAAUGAUUUUUUACAUAGUAUUUGAUUUUUAUUAAUUAUAAUGUGAAACUAUAAUUAAUUCCUAUAAGUUGUUACUACUAUUUUCAUUAUUUUGGAUGGAAACAGACAGAUUAUGAAUACUAUAAGAAGUACUUAUUUUUUAUGGAGGAAUAACUGAACUUUAGUAAACUAACAAGGCAUGAUAUGUAGCAUGGAAUUAAACUUUAAUAUAAAACUAACUAGUUGUGUUUUUCAAACUAAUAUAAUGGCUUGAUUAAUGUAGUAUGGGAUUAAGUUUGAA
rnacentral:lncRNA from 1 species